GACGAACGCUGGCGGCGUGCUUAACACAUGCAAGUCGAACGGAAAGGCCCUGCUUUUGUGGGGUGCUCGAGUGGCGAACGGGUGAGUAACACGUGAGUAACCUGCCCUUGACUUUGGGAUAACUUCAGGAAACUGGGGCUAAUACCGGAUAGGAGCUCCUGCUGCAUGGUGGGGGUUGGAAAGUUUCGGCGGUUGGGGAUGGACUCGCGGCCUAUCAGCUUGUUGGUGGGGUAGUGGCUUACCAAGGCUUUGACGGGUAGCCGGCCUGGGAGGGUGACCGGCCACAUUGGGACUGAGAUACGGCCCAGACUCCUACGGGAGGCAGCAGUGGGGAAUAUUGCACAAUGGGCGGAAGCCUGAUGCAGCAACGCCGCGUGCGGGAUGACGGCCUUCGGGUUGUAAACCGCUUUCGCCUGUGACGAAGCGUGAGUGACGGUAAUGGGUAAAGAAGCACCGGCUAACUACGUG
rnacentral:rRNA from 1 species